UACGUAGGUGGCAAGCGUUGUCCGGAAUUAUUGGGCGUAAAGCGCGCGCAGGCGGUCCUUUAAGUCUGAUGUGAAAGCCCACGGCUCAACCGUGGAGGGUCAUUGGAAACUGGGGGACUUGAGUGCAGAAGAGGAAAGCGGAAUUCCACGUGUAGCGGUGAAAUGCGUAGAGAUGUGGAGGAACACCAGUGGCGAAGGCGCUUUCUGGUCUGUAACUGACGCUGAGGCCGAACGA
rnacentral:rRNA from 1 species